rnacentral:rRNA from 1 species
AUUGAACGCUGGCGGCAGGCCUAACACAUGCAAGUCGAGCGGAUGAAGGGAGCCUGCUCCUGGAUUCAGCGGCGGACGGGUGAGUAAUGCCUAGGAAUCUGCCUGGUAGUGGGGGAUAACGUCCGGAAACGGGCGCUAAUACCGCAUACGUCCUGAGGGAGAAAGUGGGGGAUCUUCGGACCUCACGCUAUCAGAUGAGCCUAGGUCGGAUUAGCUAGUUGGUGGGGUAAAGGCCUACCAAGGCGACGAUCCGUAACUGGUCUGAGAGGAUGAUCAGUCACACUGGAACUGAGACACGGUCCAGACUCCUACGGGAGGCAGCAGUGGGGAAUAUUGGACAAUGGGCGAAAGCCUGAUCCAGCCAUGCCGCGUGUGUGAAGAAGGUCUUCGGAUUGUAAAGCACUUUAAGUUGGGAGGAAGGGCAGUAAGUUAAUACCUUGCUGUUCUGACGUUACCAACAGAAUAAGCACCGGCUAACUUCGUG